rnacentral:rRNA from 1 species
GUACCGCGGCUGCUGGCACGUAGUUAGCCGGUGCUUCUUAUACAGGUACCGUCACAAAAGCUUCGUCCCUGUCGAAAGGAGUUUACAACCCGAAGGCCUUCAUCCCCCACGCGGCGUCGCUGCAUCAGGCUUCCGCCCAUUGUGCAAUAUUCCCCACUGCUGCCUCCCGUAGGAGUCUGGGCCGUAUCUCAGUCCCAAUGUGGCCGUACACCCUCUCAGGCCGGCUACCCGUCGACGCCUUGGUAGGCCAUUACCCCACCAACAAGCUGAUAGGCCGCGAGCUCAUCCCCAACCGCAAAAGCUUUCCAACAACCACACUAAAGAUUGUUCCUAUCCGGUAUUAGACCCAGUUUCCCAGGCUUAUCCCAAAGUUGAGGGCAGAUCACCCACGUGUUACUCACCCGUUCGCCACUCGAGUACCCCUAGCAAGCUAGAAGCCUUUCCGUUCGACUUGCAUGUGUUAAGCACGCCGCCAGCGUUCGUCCUGAGCCAUGAUCAAACUC